GCGGGUCCUGUCAGAGAGAAAGCAGACAUAUUUCACGGAAUGCAUUCAUAUCAAUGUUUAAAAACGCAAGGCACAAGUCUUUCGAGUAAUGGAUAAUUAUACACAAAAUAAUUAUAACCAAGUAAUUCAAGCAAACUAAUCAAUCCUGAAAGUUUUUUUUUAAUGUUUUCUUCCCCAUAUCAUCUUUCCAAUGAUAGUGCUUGUUGAAUUGCUUGUCCUCGCAUGUCUGCUGCAAUUGGAGCUCGGUGGUUUUCGAAUUGUGACUGUUAAUACCCACAAGUCUUUUGUCGUGAAACAUAAGAACAAAAGCAGUGAAGUGAAUAGAUGUCAAAAUCAUUUCCUAACUGAAGGGAAUAGAUGUCAGAUUUCUCUUAUAUAAUAGUAUCCGAGUGAGCUGAGCUCCUCUAAAGCAAUGAAACAUCAGAAGAUAAGUAGCUAAGUGAACAUUUUGUAGUUUGGUACUGAAUUCAUUUGUAAAGAGGGAGUGACGAUAUCGAUGGAGCGUGCACAUUGUGUACAGAAAGUGAUCACGGCCACCGAUGUUGGGAGACUUGUAGUGACCAAGGAAAUGCUUGCUGUGCUGCCUCCUGUCAAUCCAGGUAAUGAUAUCUCAAUCAACGGUUUCGAUAACCAAACCCGCCG
rnacentral:lncRNA from 1 species